rnacentral:misc_RNA from 1 species
GAUGAAGAACGCAGCGAAAUGCGAUAAGUAAUGUGAAUUGCAGAAUUCAGUGAAUCAUCGAAUCUUUGAACGCACCUUGCGCCCUUUGGCCAUUCCGAAGGGCAUGCCUGUUUGAGUAUCAUGAACACCUCAACUCUCAUGGCUCGCCAUGAUGAGCUUGGAUUUGGGGGUCUUGCUGGCCUGUGGUCGGCUCCUCUCAAAUGGAUCAGCUUGCCAGUGUUUGGUGGCAUCACAGGUGUGAUAACUAUCUGCGCUUGUGGUUUUCCAUCAGAUAACCUUCAGUGAUGGAGGUUCGCUGGAGCUCAUAAACGUCUCCCCUAAGCGGGGACAGCCCUUUGAAUGUUUGAUCUCAAAUCAGGUAGGACUACCCGCUGAACUUAAGCAUAUCAAUAAGCGGAGGA